rnacentral:lncRNA from 1 species
AUGCAGGUUGCUAAGACAUAGAGCGAUGUUAAGUUAAGAUUGACUACCGCUGACCGUGUAGUGCAGGAAAUUGCUUACCAGGCCCCGCAUCACACGUCGAUCAGCGAAAUCACUGGCGUUGCGCCGCCCUAUAUAUAAGCGCCCUGGGCUCGCCGCUUCUCUGUCCGAUAAAUGCCACUUCUUCGUUUUCAUAUGUAUUUAGAUUACAGUAUCCAAUAGUACUUCAUUGUAGAAUAGUCCCAAUCGAAAAAUUGACAGCAUUUGUCCCAUUCGGAAGGAAAAACACUCCCGUAUACCAUUUAGGUUCAAAAUAAAUAACAAAUCAUUUGAAAGUGACGCGCAAUCUUCGCGAAAACUUCUCGUGGACACAUGACGGGGGGGGGGGGGGNNNNNNNNNNNNNNNNNNNNUGUGAAUAUUUUCACGAAACGUUUGUUCGCCACCACAGAAACAUAACUAAAUAUAUUGUAUUUAUUGUAUUUUUAUGAUUUAUGAUAAAAACAAUAAAAAUUGCGUAGUUUUGUCAUAAAUCAUAAAAAUACAAUAAAUACAAUAUAUUUAGUUAUGUUUCUGUGGUGGCGAACAAACGUUUCGUGAAAAUAUUCAUCCCCCCUGUCAUGUGUCCACGAGAAGUUUUCGCGAAGAUUGCGCGUGCCUUUCAAAUGAUUUGUUUAUUAUUUUGAACCUAAAUUGUAUACAGGGAGGGGUUUUCCUUCCAAAUGGUACAAAUGUUGUCAAUUUUUCGAUUGGGACUAUUCUACAAUGAAGUACUCUUGGAUACUGUAAUCUAAAUACAUAUGAAAACGAAGAAGUAUCAUUUAUCGGACAGAGAAGCGGCGAGCCAUUAAAAUGGCGGCAAUUUGAUGAAAUAUCGAAGGACACAAUAUCGAAGGUAAAAUACACUGCACUUGUCUCUCAACUUGAUGAAAUUUGGUUGAAAUAUUUUUUAGCCCUUUAUGAUUAUGUAAAGGUACAACAACUGGAUGAUAUUUGCGAGACUCGGCGAUAAAAAGGAAACAAGACGGCAAAAUAUGGCUGACAUCGUGUUUUUGUGGGGGGUAAGUGAA